rnacentral:rRNA from 1 species
UACGUAGGGUGCGAGCGUUAAUCGGAAUUACUGGGCGUAAAGGGUGCGCAGGCGGCUCCGCAUGUCGGGCGUGAAAUCCCCGGGCUUAACCUAGGAAUUGCGUCCGAAACUAUGGAGCUGGAGUGUGGCAGAGGGAGGUGGAAUUCCACGUGUAGCGGUGAAAUGCGUAGAUAUGUGGAGGAAUACCGAUGGCGAAGGCAGCCUCCUGGGCCAACACUGACGCUCAUGCACGAAAGCGUGGGGAGCAAACAGG